rnacentral:rRNA from 1 species
UGGGGAAUAUUGCACAAUGGGCGCAAGCCUGAUGCAGCCAUGCCGCGUGUAUGAAGAAGGCCUUCGGGUUGUAAAGUACUUUCAGCGAGGAGGAAGGUGUUGUGGUUAAUAACCGCAAGCUAAUGACGUUACUCGCAGAAGAAGCACCGGCUAACUCCGUGCCGGCAGCCGCGGUAAUACGGAGGGUGCAAGCGUUAAUCGGAAUUACUGGGCGUAAAGCGCACGCAGGCGGUCUGUCAAGUCGGAUGUGAAAUCCCCGGGCUCAACCUGGGAACUGCAUCCGAAACUGGCAGGCUAGAGUCUUGUAGAGGGGUAGGA